rnacentral:rRNA from 1 species
CAAGUCGAACGUGAUCCGUAGCAAUACGGUGAAAGUGGCGGAAGGGUGAGUAAUGCAUAGAUAACCUGCCUCCGAGCCUGGGAUAACUUCAGGGAAACCGAAGCUAAUACCGGAUCAGGUUCGCUGGAUCGCAUGGUCUUGGCGAAGUAAAGGUAGCCUCUGAAUAUGCCUGCCACUCGGAGAGGGAUCUAUGUCCUAUCAGCUAGUUGGUGAGGGUAACGGCCCACCAAGGCAUUGACGGGUAGCCGGCCUUAGCGGGUGUCCGGCCACAUUGGGACUGAGACACUGCCCAAACUCCUACGGGAGGCUGCAGUCGAGGAUCUUCUGCAAUGAGCGCAAGCUUGACAGAGCGACGCCGCGUGUGGGAUGAAGGCCUUCGGGUUGUAAACCACUGUCGCCGGUUAUGAAAAGGGUCUGGUGUUAACAGCAUCUAGUCAUUGACAAAGGCCGGAUAGGAAGCCACGGCUAACUUCGUGCCAGCAGCCGCGGUAAGACGAAGGUGGCGAGCGUUGUUCGGAAUCACUGGGCAUAAAGCGCACGUAGGCGGCGGCGUAAGUCGGAUGUGAAAUCCCUGGGCCUAACCCAGGAACUGCGUCCGAUACUGCGUUGCUUGAGGACCAAAGGGGUGCAUGGAAUUCCCGGUGGAGCGGUGAAAUGCGUUGAUAUCGGGAGGAACGCCGGCGGCGAAAGCGGUGCACUGGUUGGUUUCUGACGCUGAGGUGCGAAAGCCAGGGGAGCAAACGGGAUUAGAUACCCCGGUAGUCCUGGCCGUAAACGAUGGGUAC